UAUAUGUCUAUGGUCUAUAUGACAUCCAAUAGAUUCAAAUCGUCUCAAUAAUACAGCUGUUAUCACGCAUGUAAACGGGUCACACGCCUGAUCUGGAGUCCCUCCCAUCAGAAGACAAAGGGCGGAGGAUUCUUUAAUGAGUCCCCGUGUCUCCUCGUUUUGUCCUCAGGAGGAAGCUCAAAGCCCGGAGGCAACCCCGAGGAGGCGACGGAGCUGAACGUAGUCAAAGGUCGGCCUGUGGGCGUCUCUACACGUGCACCUCCUCACCGGGACACCCGGGGGAGCCAGAGGGCCGUCACCAUGACGACCUGUGGUGGACUCUCACUGGUACCUCUCAGUACGAGGCAGUGAAACUCAACUGACCUGAGAACCAACAACAACGACGGCAACUAACAACGCACAACACAACACACACAGGAGAAACAAAAAUGCAUUUGAAAGAUUUGUUGUAAGUGCUUGUUUUCUACAUGGGGGGUCAGGGGGGUCUCAGGGGGUCAGGGGGGUCUCAGGGGGGUCUGUGGCCCCGGACUGUGCAGCUAGAACCGGCUGCAGGUUCAGGAAGUCUUUCAGGGGAAACAAGGACCCCGAAGACAGAUUCAUUUGGACCAGGGAGCGGAAGGGGACAAUGCUAACAAAGGUAGCAUCGCUGAGGGAGCUAACGGCGCUAGCUGAGGUAGAAUGCUAACAGAGGACAGAUUGUGUCUCACAGCUGGUUCGCUGUGGGCAAAGACUCGAGCUUGGACCAGCGUGGAUCAGUUGUUUUGAACCUGUUAAGUGUGUUUUUAGAAUGUUUUCAGUUUUUCAGACUUAAUCCACAUUUAAUCUGCAGUAGACUGAAGUUUUCUCUUCCACGCGCUCACGACUUCUUUCACAGAUGUGUCAUCGUUGUUGUUAAUAAAAUGAUCACUGAA